UUACAUUUGAAAAAGGGUUGGGUCUGGUGUUACAAAGGCAGAACAAUACCCACAGAAGCUCAGCUGGGGUCCCACUUUCCCAAUUGAAUAGUCGUUUCAUAUUUUAAUAAAAUGAAGACCUCUUUUAGUACCCGCUGCUGGAUCUGUGAAGUCUAUGAUGCGCCUUCUAAAUUCAUUUCCACAUUUAAAUUCUAAUAUUUUCCCUUUCACCCAGGAGCAGCUUAAUACACUGCAGGGAACACUUUCCCUUGAUGAUGAAAACAAUAUUUUUAAGAUAAAAGACUGCAGCUGCUGGUGCCCAUCUUUGCUGCUAAUGAGGAAGAAUCUGCAAAGCGGAGCUGAAGCUAGAAGCAGAUACUGAACACCUCCUGAUCCCUCCUUCAGCUGGGCUUGAAUCCAGAUCUGCUCCUGGACCCCUAAAAAAUGUGGUCUGGGAAACCCUGGGGAUCCCUCUACCUCUGAGGCAACUGGAAAUUAAACUAUUUUUAUCAAAAUAA